rnacentral:misc_RNA from 1 species
GAAAUGCGAUAAGUAAUGUGAAUUGCAGAAUUCAGUGAAUCAUCGAAUCUUUGAACGCACCUUGCGCUCCCUGGUAUUCCGGGGAGCAUGCCUGUUUGAGUGUCAUUUAAUUCUCAACCUUUUCAGCUUUUACUAGCUGGCUAGGCUUGGAUGUGGGGGUUGCGGGCUUCUCAGAAGUCGGCUCUCCUUAAAUGCAUUAGCGAAACCUUUUGUUGACCAUCUCUGGUGUGAUAAUUAUCUAUGCCGUUGAGAAUCAGCUUUAUUAUGAGGUUCUGCUUCUAAUCGUCCUCCAGGGGACAACUCUUGACAUUUUGACCUCAAAUCAGACAAGACUACCCGCUGAACUUAA